GAUUAUAAACAAAUAAAAAAUGUAUUGAUAUAUAUAAAAUGUGACCUCCCAAAAAAAUGAUUUAUAUAUUUUUAUUGCGUUUUAUUAAUUUCAAAUUUGUAUAUAUUUAUUGUAGUAAGUAGAUGAAAUCAAUUAUUUAUUUUAAUGAUUCAUUUUGAUUGUAAUCUACUUUCCUCCACCUCCUCCUCCGCCACCACCUCCUCCACCACCGCCACCAUUCGUACCAGAGCCACUCC
rnacentral:lncRNA from 1 species